rnacentral:lncRNA from 1 species
CCAUCUUCACGGUGGAUGCCAAGACCACAGAGGUAUUUGCUUCUCUUUUAGAUCCAGCUGUGUAGAUGUGGAUUUGGGGUUUGUGCCUUAAACCUAGGAUUUGUGUGUUUUAAUGCAAUUAGAAAAACAUUUGGGCACUUCGGGAGGUGGGAAGUUUGCUUGAGCCCAGGAGUUCAAGACCAGCCUGGGCAACAUAGCAAGAUCCCAUCUCUACAAAGAAAUUAGCCAGGUGCAGUGGCACACACGAGACAGAUGAUGAAGCUCUUAUCAAAUUCAUGUGUAUAUGUCUCUUGCCCUUCCGAUGGAGAAGUCAUGUUGGGGUCUUGCUUUUGGCUUGAACAUAUUGAAGCUUAGUU